rnacentral:misc_RNA from 1 species
GUGCAUUACAGGAGCCUGAUCGAGUCUACAAACUGCAACAGUCGAAACAAGUGGAGAUGACAUUGAACUCUAACCUCCAACAUUAUCCUCCUGAUGGUAUCUUGUCUACAUCAAAGGUGAAGAUCUUCAAUGUCGGGUAGAACACUAGUUUGUCUACCAGAGCUUCUAUUAGGCAGGCUGACCACCAGUUGACCACAUGCACCACUAAUAUCUUGACCCAUCUGCUUACGGACUGUUGUGCGUAUAUUAUACGUACCUCGUAAAACUUUCUGAAAUACUGAAACUUUCUCAUCACCACUGGU